CAAUAGCGUACAUUAAAGUUGUUGCAGUUAAAAAGCUCGUAGUUGAAUUUUGGAUAGGAGUGACCUAGCCUUUGAAUGAACUUUCAUUGCUUUGCUUUGUGUCAUCUCUGGUCGAUUUUUCUUUAUUAUGAUAUUGAUAAAGAUCGUUUACUGUUAGCAAAAUAGAGUGUUAAAAGCAGGGCGUAGUCCUGAAUACAUUAGAAUGGAAUAAUAAGAUAGGACUUUGGUGCUAUUUUGUUGGUUUGCACACCAAGGUAAUGAUUAAUAGGGACAGUUGGGGGUAUUCGUAUUUAAUUGUCAGAGGUGAAAUUCUUGGAUUUAUGAAAGACGAACUACUGCGAAAGCAUUUACCAAGGAUGUUUUCAUUA
rnacentral:rRNA from 1 species